rnacentral:rRNA from 1 species
CGUACCUUUUGUAUAAUGGGUCAGCGACUUAUAUUCUGUAGCAAGGUUAACCGAAUAGGGGAGCCGAAGGGAAACCGAGUCUUAACUGGGCGUUAAGUUGCAGGGUAUAGACCCGAAACCCGGUGAUCUAGCCAUGGGCAGGUUGAAGGUUGGGUAACACUAACUGGAGGACCGAACCGACUAAUGUUGAAAAAUUAGCGGAUGACUUGUGGCUGGGGGUGAAAGGCCAAUCAAACCGGGAGAUAGCUGGUUCUCCCCGAAAGCUAUUUAGGUAGCGCCUCGUGAAUUCAUCUCCGGGGGUAGAGCACUGUUUCGGCAAGGGGGUCAUCCCGACUUACCAACCCGAUGCAAACUGCGAAUACCGGAGAAUGUUAUCACGGGAGACACACGGCGGGUGCUAACGUCCGUCGUGAAGAGGGAAACAACCCAGACCGCCAGCUAAGGUCCCAAAGUCAUGGUUAAGUGGGAAACGAUGUGGGAAGGCCCAGACAGCCAGGAUGUUGGCUUAGAAGCAGCCAUCAUUUAAAGAAAGCGUAAUAGCUCACUGGUCGAGUCGGCCUGCGCGGAAGAUGUAACGGGGCUAAACCAUGCACCGAAGCUGCGGCAGCGACACUAUGUGUUGUUGGGUAGGGGAGCGUUCUGUAAGCCUGUGAAGGUGUA